rnacentral:lncRNA from 1 species
UGCGCAUGCGCAGUCGGGGCAAAUUUUUGGUUGUCAGGGCGUUGCCACGCGGAUUAUGGGAUGGGGACUCGAGUGCGCAUGCGCCGGGGAUGCCGCAUGGAAAGCCUAUAUAUAAGGAGGGGUGAACCAGGGGCCCCGGUGCGCAUGCGCGGGCCAGGGCCCGCGGGAGGGUCGCCCUGCGCAUGCGCCGGUAAAAUUCCACUGGGUGUGUGUUGUGCGCAUGCGCCCGUAUUUUUCCACCGGGGGCGGUCGGUGCGCAUGCGUCGGUAAAAUUCCACUGGAUGUGCGCCGUGCGCAUGCGCCGGUAUUUUUCCACUGGGCGGCCGCACCUAGGGAGCGCGAGCCCCGUGCCGGGCAUGGGCCGCGGCGGUGGAAAAUUACCGCUCCGCCCAUAUAGGCGGGGCAUCUGAAAACCUAUAAAACCCGGCGUGCCCGCCGCCCCCCGGCGCAGUCCGCGGCAGGGUUCCGGCCGUGCUGCGGUCCGCACGCUGCGCCCGCUCCCGCCUGCCUCCCGCCCUACCCCCCACCCUCCCCGGCCGAGGCCCGGCGCCGGUCCGUCCGCGGGCCCGUCCCACCGCCCUGGAGCACCAUCCGGGGCCGUGGGCCGGGCACCGGGCGCGGCCCGCUCCGGACCUCGGCCGGGGGUCCCUCCCCUCCCCCCGCUCACCCCCCCAUCCCGACGGCCCGGCCGGGCUGGGACCCCCGCACCGGGGUCCCGGUUCCCGUCCGUGGCCCGGGGGGACCGGACGGGGGGCUUCCCACCCCCACCCCGCUCCUCCCCGGGCUCCGGCCCGGGAUCCCUCGCUGCUCCCGGCGACCUCCGCCGGCUUCCCGGUCCACCCGCCGCGGAACGGACGGGACCCGGGGUCCGCACCCUUCCCCUCCCCCCACGGGGGGCUGGGUCGCGGACCCCGGUUCCUAGGCUCGUUCCGCGGUGGGCGACCGGGGAUCCCCCACCCAGCUCCCCUUCCCGGCCCGCCCCGCUGGCUUUUGGGCCCCUCCGGGCUUUUUUUCCGGCUGGGGGUCGCGGCGGUCGGCCGACGACGACGGUAGGUGGGCCGGGUGGACGGUGGUGGGGACGGGCGACGCCCCGGCUCGACGGCAGUCGGUCCCGGAAGGUUGGGGGCUGGGGGCCCGGUCAGGAGCUCCGGGAGCGGGGUCGACCGCGACGGCUUCCGGGUCUCGCGGCGGCUCCCUCUCGGCGGCUCCGGUUGGGCUCCCCUCCCCCCUCUCGAGGGUCCGGCCGCCAGUCGUGACCGGGGGUCACUCGGCCUAGCCGCCGGCUCUCGGGCCGCCUUAUCCUGGGCGUUGGCCGGUCCCGUGACGCUCCCCUCCCCCGCUGCUCCCCAAAAAACUCCGCCCGAACCGUCGCGGCUUGCUGGCCCUGGGCGUGGUCCCCCACUCCCCUCCCCCCAUCGGCCGCCCAGCCGGGGUCGGCGCCUCGGACCCCACCAGGCUGUGGCGUGUGUGCUGGCCGAUGCGGCGGCGAGGUUGGGUGUGGCCGGAAGCGCUCGGGGUCGACGGUGGGCCGCCAUGACACCUCGAUUGCCGUCAGUACGCCCCUCCACAAUCACCGUCCCCACACGAUGGGCCCGGCAGGUCACCCAACGUUGGUUCAGGCCCAGUCGGGUUUUUCCCCGGCACGAACGCACGUCCCCGUGGGCUCCACGCGUUUUCCACCCUUUCCUGGAGGGGUCAGGAACACCGUGAAUCCACGGGGAGGGUCCCGGCACGGGCCGAGGAGACCACGACCGUCCCACCCGGCGUGUCGACUCGUCCGAGACCCGAGAAGGGAACAGGCCCCACCUUUUUUUCCCCUUCUCCGAUUUGCCGUGGAAAACCCGUGAACCGAUACGGGUGCAGACGGCCGAAAAAAUUCGAGACGACAUUACGACGGCAGGGCGUGAUUUUCUCCCCCAUCCGACAAAACCGUGUCCCUCAAAAUUCCCCACCUUUCUCUGUUCAAAUGGCCCCGAAACUGUAAAACACCGUUUGACCGCACCCCAACCGGCGCCAUCUUGGUGACCUUCUCGACGGUUCUCUCGCUCGUCAUGCCGUUCUGAGCUCCGACAUGGCGGACGAGAGAAAAUGGCGUCGAGAGCCUAGGAGCGUUUUCGCUCCAGGCGGGUAAAAAAAUAGCACGAUAACUUUUCUGUGCUUUUUUUGAGACGUUUUAGAAGAGCUUUUUUUUUGCUCAGAGCGAAAAAAUGAUAGCCCUGAAAAUCUCGACGAGUCUGGCCGAGCGGCGCCAUCUUGGAGGAGGGGCGAGUCGCGGGCACCGCCUCGGUACCCCCUGGCCGAGGCGAGUCCGCGGUCGCCGCCUGUUCCGUGAUGCUACCUAGAGGGCGCCGUCGAGGCGACUCUUCCUGUUUUCGCCCUGAGGGCUAACGGUCGCUGACGUCAAACCAUCUCGUGCUCGCUGAGUCACAUCCGGUUGUUGACAAGCGAUGGAGGACCGCACCCAAAGUGCGCCCUCUAGUCAUCGCGCCUGACCCCUUUUAUAAACUGCUCGAAGAAAAGAACACCUUAUGUGAAAAAAUACAGAAUGAUGACAAGUUCAUCCAACACAACCGCUCAACAACGCCAUAUCUAUCAGUGUCCAAAAACUAUCUUCUAUCCUUUGAAACUAUAAAUGCUGCCUAUAUACAUAUUUAGUAUCCAAGACUCUUACCACGUAGACGAAAAGAAGUGAUACAAUGAUCUUGACGUGUAUCGUCUAUAUCGUGCUAGAUAUAUUCAGAUAAGACGCGCAAACCAUAGAUUUCUCAUCAGUAUCAUGAAAGACCUAUAGCUCUAUAUACGAACCUAGUCAUUUUAGGACAGCCGCCGGAGAAGCCGACGAGGGAUCGGGCGGGUGCAGCCAGAACCUCACGCCCGAUCCCGCCUCCGGUAGGCGAUUUGCAUCUGUUUGGUAAAAAGCUCAUAAGUCUGUAUGUGACCUAUAUAUAUAUUAUACGCUAUGUACACCGAACUGUCGCUGUUGUAUAAGAAGAAAAAACUCUCCAUAUUUAUAUCGUCUGAAUUUUUGCUUGAUAGACACGUGUUUGGAACUCUGUCCCCCCACGUUUUCACUGUGUAUAACAAAAAUAUGUGUUUCUCAAAAGAUCUUGAGGUGUUUGAAAACGGGGGAAACCUGCGUUUGGGUGCGCUAAGCCCCGGACUGGGACGUAGCCGGCGUCCGGCACCUAUAUUUUUCUAUUUUUUUACAAAAUAUAUGAUGAACCAAGAAUAAAACUCUAGCUCUCGUCUAUUUUUAAUAUGCUCUACUUAGAACCUUUUUAAUGACAGAAUGAACUCCAUGUUAUACGCUCUUUAUAUAGUUUCUCUGCACUAACCUUUAAAACCGUAUCCUUCCCUGUUGUACAAAUCAUCUUUUGAUACACAAUGAUGACCUGAUAUCCCUCCAUAUAUAUGAUCGGAUAUUAUUCCGUUAGACUUGUCCUCCUUUUUUUUUCCUCAUCUCCUGUAUCUGGAGAUAUAUGUUGACCACCACCGCCAUGACCACCAAAAAGCUAGCCGUCACGACUAGAAAUGUGUAGGAUUCGGACUUUCCGUUCGAGAAGAAAGACCGCGUCUCUGGACGCUCUUUUUGUCGGUCUGAAUCGACCCGGGAUACGUAAGAGAGCGGCCCUACAUCGGGGGGCGCUCGAGACCGACGACGUUCCAUCUGACCAGAAAAAAAAAAGGCACCCCUCGGUAGCGACCUCUCACCAUCGUUUGCCCGUCCGCCCGUCCUUCGUAGCCAUCAUCAUCAUCUCAGGCUCUAUCGGUACCAUCGUUGUCAUCUGAAAAAAACUGCCUCACCCACCUGCGUAAAAACACCAUCUUUCCGGAGGUGCGGUAAGACGGGCAAAUACGGUCGUGCCGAGGCAAAAAAAACGCACCAUCGACACCACACCCUCAUGAGCACCACCUGUCGGUGUUGGUCGUCCUCCAUCGUUCUCUACGAACAUCUCGACGCCCGGGUGACGGACGACGGCAAGACGUCCCGGAGAAGACGGUGUUCUCUCGGGCGGUACGCUCUCUGGAUCUAUAAUAUCUAUAGUAGCUAAACGAGACUGUGAGUACGACGAACCACAUCAUCUUUUUUUUAUGUUGCUUCUUUAGAAAAUGACUUAUGUCGACGACACUCGGCAUCAGCCAUCUCGUGAAACACGCUCGCUUUUCGUCUCUCCAAGGAACACUGGGUCCGCUGAAAGGGACCGUGUACCGACCAAAGCAAAAAACACACACGUAGUAACAUGAUCAACCACGUCUGAAUGACACGAAAACACAAUCGUAUAACGCUCUAUUCAUGGAACGAACUUGGAAUAAAAAAACCAUCGCAGGCCAGAGGCUAAGCCGAAACCGUCCGGGGAAGCGGGCGCGAGUUUUCCGACUUAGUCUCUGGUGCUCGUUGAGCCUCUUUUUUUUUUCUGAUUCUCUGAAGAAUCACCGUCACAGCCCUAUGACGCGAAAUCAAUUGCUAGAACAUAAACGUUCUCAACAGGUAUGAAAUGAACAAACUAGAUGAUGCUAUAACCUUAUAUUGUGUGUAUAUAGAUAGGUGUGAAAUUUGUAGGAUAAAAAGUGUCGUUGUAUGAUGCACAACGAUCGUGAAACUGGAGACUGUAGCUCUCUACCGAAUGCAAAUACACAAAUGACAUCGAUUCCCGUCCCCACAUAAAGAAAUGUGCUUUACUGUGAAAGAAUGAAGAAGAUUCUUGUUCCUCGUACGACGGGGCCCUCGCUCGUCGUGCCUCUUCCCCCCUCCGGGAGAGGGGACGUCGGGGCCCUCCGUCGCACCGGGCCGAAGCCAGUGAAAUGUUUACUACACUGUCAUCAGAAUAUAUGAUGUAUAUUAUUUCCUCCAAACUCCUCACCAUAGCCACCAAUUCGCAUCACUUAAGAAAGUAGUAGCAACCGCGGCGGCGGCGACCGGCCGGUCGUCGUCUCCUCGUCCUCAAAUGUUGUACAUGUGCAGAAAAAUGUGUAAAUACGUGUUAUUUAUCCCAUGCGUCUUGUACAUAGAUAUAUGUUUUUAUAUACGCUAUUUAUACUUUAUAUAUCCUUUUGCAUAACCAUAGACAGUCAAGGAUUUUAAUGAUUUGCUCAUCCGCCUUUGAGCCAUCGCUUAGGAGUUAGUUCCUCUAUGUUCUCGGCCCACCUUUUCGACUACAGUAGCAAACCCUUGUACUACCACCCCGAUAAAAACCACAUCAUCAUCGUCACCACGACCUGGAAACGACACACGUUCCCCCCCAAUCUUGGGCAUGUGUAUAUAUAUAUAUAAAGAAUGGGAGGGAGAGGACGUGGGGCUCGAGAAGAAAUAAACGCCAAGCUCGAUUCGAACC